UACGUAGGGUGCGAGCGUUAAUCGGAAUUACUGGGCGUAAAGCGUGCGCAGGCGGUUCUCCAAGUCCGUUGUGAAAGCCCCCGGCUCAACUGGGGAGGGUCACGCGAUACUGAUCGACUCGAAGGCAGGAGAGGGAAGUGGAAUUCCCGGUGUAGUGGUGAAAUGCGUAGAUAUCGGGAGGAACACCAGUGGCGAAGGCGACUUCCUGGCCUGUUCUUGACGCUGAGGUGCGAAAGCUAGGGGAGCAAACGGG
rnacentral:rRNA from 1 species